AAGACUAUAGACCUGCGGAGUACCUGCGGAAGGAUCAUUACAGGACUCGCAAGACUCCUUAAACCCCUGUGAACUUACUGUUUAUACGUUGCUUCGGCGGGUGCUCCGGGGUCCGCCCCGGGGCGCUGCGCCCGCCGGCAGCCUACUUAAUUCUGUUUCUCUGCGUUGGCAUCUCGAGUAAGCAAAAUAAGUUAAAACUUUCAACAACGGAUCUCU
rnacentral:misc_RNA from 1 species